AGUCGGUCCCUGAGCUCCCACUCUGAGUCCCCAAUGAAAGGAUUCCGCGGGGCUGCCUCUAUUAUUAUACCGUAAAUCUUUUUAAAUUCUGGAACUAAUUAUAUAGAGGAUAUGUCUCAAUUUGUUCUGCAUUAAUGCCACAGUGGGGAUGGAGACCAGGCCGUGGCCAGAGCAGAUACGUAGGCCCAUGAAAUUGAUGGACUGAGAGCUGCUUCCAGGCCUGAGCGCACCAUCUGGAAUUCCAGUCUGAGGUUACAAUUAGAACUCCUGACCCCAGAUUCAACUUUGCAAACAAC
rfam:Tupaia chinensis contig6385, whole genome shotgun sequence.